GGGGUGACUAGUGACAGAGUGAGGGAAGGGGUGACUAGUGGCAGAGUGAGGGAAGGGGUGACUAGUGGCACAGUGAGGGAAGGAAGGGGUGACUAGUGACAGAGUGAGGGAGGUGGUGACUGUCACUAGUCACCACCUCCCUCACUGUCACUACUCCCUCCCUCCUUCUGUCACUAGUCACGCCCUCCCUCACUCUGUCACAUGUCACCCCUUCCCUCCCUAACGCUGUCAACUAGUCACCACUUCCCUCCCUCACUCUGUCACUAGUCACACCC